rfam:Picea glauca, whole genome shotgun sequence.
AUGUACAUUCCUACAACAUAGCAUUAAUGCAUAGGAUCCCAUUAGAACUCUGCAGUUAAGUGUGCUCAGGAUAGAGUAGUACUAGGAUGGGUGACCGCUCAGGAAGUCCUAGUGUUUUACAUG